CCACCCUCCAUCUGCUCCACAUCCCACACCUCCACCCCACCCCACCCCGUCUCCACAUGGAUGCCCCAUUCUGACCCCACCUGACCACUAAACUCCCUGGAACCUUCAGUCUCUUGAGGGUUAGGUGCAGCAUCUCUGAAUGAACACAGACCUGGAAGUCCUUUACUGUGUGUGUGUUAGGGGUCUCAUAUCAGCUAGUGUAUGCUGUCUGUUUGGUGGUACAGUGUUUGAGAGAUCUUGAGGGUCCAGAUUAAUUGAAAUUGCUGGUCCUCCUACAGGAUGGCCCUUCUCUUCAGCUUCUUUCAGCCUUCCCUAAUUCAACAACAGUGGUCACCUGCUUCUGUCCAUUGGUUGGGUGUAAAUAUUUGCAUCUGAUGUCACUGAAGCUGGUGGGGAGAUGGAAGAAGUGGGGUAAAUGGGACAGAGACACCAGACACGGGAGUUAUGCACAGUCCUGGAGACAUUGCAGCACCAUAUGAGGCACAGGAGUUAUCCACAGUCACCGGGACAUCAGCAGCUCGAAGGUGAGAGGAAGGGUACUGGGUGAGAGAAACCGGGAACCAGCAAAGUUUCUUCAUCUGCUUCAAGGGAUUGCUGUGUCGAAGUGGCAUUGCUCUGGUUUGCCAUAGUUCAGAGUGACGACGAGGCCAGGAAUGAUUUCUGUUCCACCCGUGGCUAUAUUUCAAUAUUGUGUGGCAGUUUCUCAUCUUAAUUAGCCUCUGAUUGGAGGACAGCUUGGCUGAAACUCACCCAGGAGGCUCGUGGGCAACCCACUUACACCCCUGCAUCCCAGCGGAUGCCACUCACAGAUGGCCAAUUUCCCCCACGGAGUGAUUAUUUUCAUCAUCGGUGAAUAAAGUCCAGGGAUUUUAUUAUGAAACCUUUGUCCUGAAGUAACUUGCUCAGAAGCACACAGUCUCCUUUGAAUCAACAAUAUAAAAGCAAAUCAAUGCUCCUCAGCUGACAUUCAGUACAUCCCACGCUGGUAACGUGGGGGAUGGAUGAGUGCAGGGGCGUACUCACAGUGCGGAAAGUGAGCAUAAAGUGUGAGCUGUCCGCAUAAGACUGAAGAGACAUCACUGUCACUUCCUGGUGAAGUUCCAAACCUGUCCUUCGGAUCAGUAUCGCUUUACAUAUGACUUGGUGUUUAAUGAAGCCUCGGGAAAAGAUCAGAGACAGACCAUUCAGUCUAAAAGGAGGAGCCAUCAGGCAGACGCUAUAAGUAUUCCUAUUCAUUCU
rnacentral:lncRNA from 1 species